rnacentral:rRNA from 1 species
UACGUAGGGUGCAAGCGUUAAUCGGAAUUACUGGGCGUAAAGCGUGCGCAGGCGGCUUUGCAAGACAGAUGUGAAAUCCCCGGGCUUAACCUGGGAACUGCAUUUGUGACUGCAUGGCUAGAGUGCGGCAGAGGGGGAUGGAAUUCCGCGUGUAGCAGUGAAAUGCGUAGAUAUGCGGAGGAACACCGAUGGCGAAGGCAAUCCCCUGGGCCUGAACUGACGCUCAUGCACGAAAGCGUGGGGAGCAAACAGG